rnacentral:lncRNA from 1 species
GUUUUAAAAGAAAUUUUUCAUUUAUAAAUAAUCAAAACAUUUCCAAUAAACCACAAAAUCUCAAGUACAUUUGUUUUCAAAUUCAUAACAUCAACAAUAUUGUUCCAAACAUCACAGUGUCCAUAAAAAUGCCUGAGAGAGUGUGCAUGUCGUGUCAUUAAGCCUUGCUCUUGCCCUUAGGCUCAGAUGUACCUGAAAAAAAUCAACAAAAUGUAAGCUAAUGCUUAGUGAGUUCCCCAGAGCAUACCCCACACAGUCCACAUAAUAACAUAUACCAUAUUAGCUAAUAAGCUACAUAAACCACAUAAGCCAUGCAUACAACAUAUAGGGAUGUCGUUGGUUCACCUCAGGGUCUUACUCCAGGAUGCCAUGGGCUCCCCACAUGGUCUUACACCUAAGUGUCAUGGGCUCCCCCAUGGUCUUUAAUAGGAAAGCCAUGGGCUCUCCACAUGGUCUUACAUUCGGGUGUCAUGGGCUCUCCCAUGGGUGUUUAAAUAGGUGUCAAGUCCGAGAAUUAGGGUUUUGGCUCUCUGUCGCGUACGCGCCACGUACCUAUACGUAUGCCCUGUGUAUGCGGCCACCCUCCGCAUUCAUGCAUUCUUAGUACGUUAAGUGUACUCCUAGAGUACACCCCGCGUACUAAGGGACCUUUUAUACCAUCUUUUCCAUUUCAAGGAUCUAAAGAGUAAUACCUGAUUUGGAGUGUUACAAUAAGUCUAGGACGUUCUUGUGUCAUCCACGGUCUUCUAAAAUGUUCUAUAACAUUCUAGGGUCUUUAAUCUCAUUCUAUAAUAUUCUUGAAUCUUCUUGUAUGUUCUAGAACAUUCCAUAGGCUUCCAUUAUGUUCUAGAAUCUUCUAAAUCAUUCUAGAACAUUUUAACAUUUUUUAUAAAGGGAUAAACUCUAUUAAACUUCAUUGGGCUAGUGAUGAUCUUUAACAAUACCUAGGGGAGUCAUGUAGACCUCCUCAUGAAGAUCAUCGUUCAACAAUUCAUUCUUGACAUCUAUUUAGAAGAUCUUUCACAGACGAAUAUAUGUAACUGCUAUCAAAGUAUGCAUAUUCGUCAUAUUUUCAACUCUAAUAAAUGUCUCCCCAUAGCCAGGGGUGGAAAUUUUCGACACGACACGAAAUCCGGCACAAAGCUGACACUCAAAUAAACAUGUUUGGGUCAUAGAUUUCAACUUGUUUAAUUAAAAUAUUUUGAUAAGACACGACAUGAAAAUUAAAUGGGUUAAUGACCUAGGAGGGUAAUAAUAAGGUUUUAACUUUGUCCACAUUAAGUCCUUAAGGUUUUUUUAUACAUAUUACACCAAUAUGGUUAUAUAUAACCGUUUAAAAAUAGUAAUAAAGUUUUAAUUUUGUCCACAUUAGGUCCCUACGAUUUUUUUUUUGUACAUAUUACACCAACAUGGUUUUUAUAACCGUUUAAAGAGGGGUAAUAAGAUUUUAAUUUUAUCCAUAUUAGGUCCCUAUUUUUAAUAUUUUUAUCAUUUUAUCUAACUCUUUUACAAUUUAUAUUAGUAUCUAAUUAGAUGACUUCAUUAUUUCAUCUUCUCAUUUUAGUCGCACAUUCACCACAACCACGGUUUCAAUUUGAAAGGUUACAUAACAAUUUUUUGUCAUUUUUACACACACACAUAAAAAAAAAACUAAUAAUUAUCAAAGUCUUAGUGAUUAAGGUUAUGUUUGGUGCGCCACAACUAGCUGAUAAGCUAGUUUAUUUUUCAAUCUUUUUUAAGUUGUCAUGUUUAGCAAGCCAAAAAAAUAGUUUAUAAGCUAGCGUUCUAAAAACUUAGACUAGUUUUUAAAAAAAAAAAUUUAAUUUCCAAAUAUACCCCUUAAUUAAUUAAAAAACAUAUUUUUUAAAUGUCAUUUUAUGUCAUUAUAUAAAAGAUAACUUAUAAGUGAGUGACAAAUCGGGGUAUAUUUGGCAGUUUCCCCGAAAAGUAAAAGAGUAUCCACCAAAAGUAAUGUGGUAUCCCCGAUAAGUAAUGAUGUAUCGGAGAUACCCUAUUGGAGGAGCCAUUACUCAUCGGGAUACCCCGUUACUUUUCAGGGAUACUCGUUUACUUUGACCUUAGCUUCGCCACUGGCUUAUAAGCUAUCUGAAAUUUAUAUAGUGACUUAAAAGGGCAUUUAAAAAUAUGUUUUCUUAAUUAAUUAUGGGGUAUAUUUGAACAUUUAAAAAAAACACUUUUAAAAAACUAGUCUAAGUAGCUUUUUAAAUCGUUAGGUUAUAAGCUACUUUUUAGCUUGUCAAACAUGACAACUUAAAAAAGAUCAAAAAAUUAACUAGUUUAUCAAUUAGUUGUGGCGCACCAAGCAUAGCCUUAGUCAUUAGGACUUUGAAUUUUUUUUUUUUUUUUUGGUGAAAAUGACAAAAAAUUGUUAAUUAACAUUUCAAUUGAAACCAUGGUUGUGUUUAAUGUGCGACUAAAAUGAGAAGAUGAAAUAAUGAAUCCAUCUAACUAGAUACUAAUAUAAAUUGUAAAAGAGUUAGAUGAAAUGAUAAAAAUAUUAAAAAUAGAGACCUAAUGUGGACAAAAUUAAAACUUUAUUGCCCCUCUUUAAAUGGUUAUAAAAACCAUGUUUGUGUAAGAUGUACAAAAAAGACCUUAGGGACCUAACGUGGACAAAAUUAAAACCUUAUUACCUUUUUUAAGGGUAUAUACAACCAUAUUGGUGUAAUAUGUAAAAAAAUAAAUAAAUAAAUAAACUUAAGUACUUAAUAUGGACAAAGUUAAAACCUUAUUACCCUCCUAGGUCAUUAAUCCAAAUUAAAUAGAUAAGUUUAGCCUCCAAACAAUCAACACGGAAAUGACCAUUUUAUUUAUAUACAACUUCUUUAAUCUUUUAAGUAAACAUGGCAUGGCCAAGACCAAAACCAAAACCAAAUAUAAAAGAAAACUUUAGAUUGAUUCGUUUGUAUUUCAUAUACAUCAAAUAUGUAUUUCAUCCAAGAUAUAAUUAUUAGCAUACCCCUUGAAACCAAUGCAUGAUAUUUGCCAAAUAAUGGUGUUCUUUUAUUAGAUAUGAGAUUGUAUUGUACUAUUGUGGGUAGUUUGGUUUAUUUUACAGUCACUCGUUCGGACAUAGCUCAUCCAUUUCAUGUGGUUAGCCAAUUUGUUUCAACUCUUACUGUUGUACAAUAGAGAGAGAUGUUCUCAUAUUUAGGACAUCUUCAUGGCGGCUAGUUUUAAAGUCUUAUGUUCCACUUGAAUUCCUCUCUAGAGUUGUGUACCUACGGUGAUUGUAACACCCAUGAUUUUUAAAACCAUUUUAAGUUACAAAAUAUUACAUUUCCCAUGACAUACGGUCAUGUCAAAAUACACUUUACAAAAAUUUCCAAAUAUUAUCAGAAUACAUUUGAUGGUGUUAUAAAAGACACAUAGCCAUAGAUCAAGGAAAGUAUUAUACAUAGUGAAGACUACACUAGAUCUUCAAAAAAUCCUGUCAAGUGCACCUCUAUCACUUAUCACUUGAUACCUUUGAUACUAAACAUGAGUACGUAGAGUACAUAGACAACAUUAAUAAAAACAAAAUACGUAAAUCCAAAGAAUUGCGAGCUACACGAGCUCCGACCUAGUAUCAAAACUUGAAAUAUAUUUCAUAAACUUCUAGCAUGUCAUAAUAACUUAAACAUGAAUCUUAUAAAUCAUAAUGACUCUAAUUACGCAUAAAAUACUAGCACAAAGCUAGUUUAACAUUUCUAGCUCAUAGCUAGUUUCAAACAAGAUCCUAACACAUAUGGGGAGUCGAGACCUUUGACUUUAAUUGCAUAACUUGGCCCCGAAAGAAACAUAUCACUACGUGUCGUUAGGUUAGUAUAUAUUCAUAUAAUUAUGUCCCCUUUCUCGGGACCUUUAACUAUGUCCCCAUUAUUAAGACUUGUGACCGUAACCUGUUUUGAGACCUUUAACUUUAACCUAGUCUCUUUACAUGUCUUUUUUUUUCUCACAAACCAUUUUCAUACUUUAUAUUUUACUUCGUUUUUAUAUCCAUUUUACAAUUUCAUUUUUUUUCACCUUGUUUCUAUAUGUUUUUCAUAAUCAGUUUUUACUUCAUUUUUUACUUCGUUUUUAUAUGUUUUUUUUUUCACAAUUCCUUUUUAAACUUCAUUUUUUGCUAUUUUUUACAUGUUUUUUCACAGUUCGUUUAUACAAACUAAUUGUGAAAAAACAUGUAAAACAAAGUCAAAUAAUGAAGUUGUAAAAAUAAAUUGUGUAAAAACAUAUAAAAAUGAAUAUAUAUNAUAUAUAUAUAUAUAUAUAUAUAAACUUAGAUAAUAAAAAAACAUAAAAACCUGACAUUGUUGGUCAUAAAGACUAAGUUGACUAAAUAAAUUUUCGAUGACUUUUUAGACUUAAAACAAAAUUUUGACUAAAUGAACACAAAGAAAAUAGUGCGUAGUAAUUUCGACUUUAACCUUUAUUUUAUUGAUAUUAUAAUGGAAUAAAACUAAAACUGUUUAAAAGAAACCUCAAAGGCCAAAAAUUUAUUGUGAAAUUUUAGAAGUAGGUCCAACAAAGCAUUAAGCAAUCCGCGAAAUGCAGGGAUUUAAAUAAAUUAAGGGAAAUCAUUUAAGCCCACAAAGUUCUUUGUUGGAGAAGUUGUUGACUUAGGCUUCUAAUGUGAAAAGAAUUUUUGUUGCCUUUGUCUCCUAAGGGGAAAAGUAACUAUGCUGCCUUUGUCUCCUAAUGGGAAGAGUUGUUGUAACGUGGAAUAUUUAACAACUAUGUAGCAUUAUCGGCUGGUCAAAAAGUAAUGUAAAAAACGCUUUAUGAUUAAACAAAGAAAAUAACCAUCCCAUCAUAAUCAUGAGUUAAGGGUAGUUUGAUAGUUGUAAACUGAGUUAGAGUUAGAGUAGACUCAGUUGUUUACAUCUGACUGAAUUUAUGAUGUUUGAUUAUUUUUCUGACCGUGGCGGAUGAAAAAAAAAAUUAACCAUAUUACCCUUGUGAGUUUGUUCAUACACAUAACAAGACAUCUACUAACAAAAUAACAAGCAAUAUAAUUUUAACAACAAAAUAAAUCACAGCAACAGCCAAAACGUAAUAUUAACAGAAAUUCGAGUCUACAUCAUUUGCAUUUUUUGUAUAACAAAAUUACAUAAAAGCACAUAGCAUCUACAAAAACAUUUAAACUAUAUAUAUAUNNNNNNNNNNNNNNNNNNNNNNNNNNNNUAUAUAUAUAUAUGAAAAACAAGAAGAAGGAAGAAACAGCAAAACAGGAACAGAAGAAACAGAAACAGCAAAACAGCCAAUUGACUUUCUCAGCAAAAACUCAUACGAUAUAGCAGCAAAAUUUCAGAAAGAAACAAGGAACAAGAAAGAGAAAUCAGAAAAUAUCGUAUGAAAUAGAGAAAUCGGGAACAGAAAAUCCUGUAUGGAAUGCAGUUAGACAAACAUGCCAAAUGGGUUUUUUUGGACCCAGUUAGACAAACGACCCCUUCUUAUUGUAAUAAAUAAUUGGAGUAGGGUCCUCAAAAUGCCUAGAUAUAAAAGCCUUGUAAUCCCCUAAGUUUAGUUGCAAAAAUGAACACAAGGCAACCAAUUUCCUUUUCCUGUUUUGUUAUAUUUCUGAUUGCUGCCUCCAUCGAUGGUGGUAAUGAGACCGAUUACCAGGCUUUGUUAAAGUUCAAGUCUAUGAUCAGGAAUGAAGAAGCUCUAAUCUCAUGGAAUGCUUCCUUCCAUUUCUGUGAUUGGAGUGGUGUCUACUGUGGGAGGCGGCAUAGAAGAGUAACUGUUCUGCUACUGGAGUCACAAGGGCUAGAAGGCUCAUUGUCUCCUCAUAUAGGGAACCUUAGCUUCCUUCGUUUCUUUUCUCUCUGGAACAACAGCUUUCAAGGAACCAUCCCUCAUGAACUCGGUCGUCUCUCCAGGCUACGUUUCCUCUAUCUUGGCUCUAACAAAUUCAACGGGGUCAUUCCAACUAACUUGACUCGUUGUUCUAACCUUAAAGAGAUUGGACUUAAUAAUAACAACCUAGUUGGAAGCAUACCUAAGGGGAUUGGUUUCCUCUCCAAACUUACUUAUCUUUCAGUUGAUGAAAAUAAUUUAACCGGUGGAAUCCCACGUGUCUUGGGGAAUAUAACAUCAAUGGAAGUGUUCUCUGCUGCUGAAAAUCCGUUGGGUGGGAGCAUUCCAGACACCUUAGGCCACUGGAAUAGCUUAACACAACUUUACCUUGGUGCUUGUAACUUAUCUGGAACCAUCCCUCCUUCCAUUUUUAACCUCUCACACCUAACGAAUUUUUCCUUGGCUGAGAAUCAGCUUACCGGUAGUCUUCCCUCAGCUUUAGGUACAAUGCUCCCUCAUCUUAGGUACCUUCAGUUAUGGGGUAACCAACUCACCGGAACUCUUCCACCCUCGAUAUCUAAUUGUUCGAAAUUAGAUUUUCUUGAAGUCCAUCUAAACAACUUCAGUGGGAAGUUGGAAAUUGACUUUGCAGAAAUGAAAGAUAUGUAUUUUAUAUCCUUGGGUGGUAACAACAUCUAUGGAUCCGGAGGUGCUGAUGAUAUGAAGUUUAUUGAUACUUUGAAAAACUGUAGCAGAUUAGAGACAUUGGAUCUUUUUCGUUGCACGUUUCAAGGACCAUUGCCUGCAUCAAUUGGUAAUCUUUCUGAUCAGCUCAGUUAUCUAAGUUUAGGAGAAAACCGUAUACAUGGAAACCUCCCUCCAGGUAUAGGUAAUCUAAUUGGCUUGACCAAUUUAGGUUUAGAAAAUAACCAGUUUACUGGAAAAAUCCCCUCAACCAUUGGUAAGCUUCAGAACCUACAAAUUGCUUCUCUACAUUACAACCAAUUUUCAGGGCCGAUUCCAGAUGCCAUUGGAAACUUAUCAUUGUUGACUAAGCUUUGGUUAAAUUCCAACAAAUUGGAAGGACAGAUUCCAUCAAGCCUGGGAAAUUGUCAUCAUCUAUUGGAGUUACACCUUGACGAUAAUAAACUUGGUGGUAAAAUACCUACUCAACUUCUUCAACUUUCAUCUCUAACCAUAGCAUUAAAUCUUUCUCAAAACAACCUGGUCGGGUCGCUUCCAACAGAAGUUGGCAACCUCAAGAUGUUGACUUAUCUUGAUUUGUCAAAUAAUAAAUUAUCAGGUAACAUUCCUAGUAGCAUUGGUGGUUGCACUAGCCUUGUAUUCUUAUCCCUCAAAGGUAACUUAUUUCAAGGCCAUAUACCAACGUCAUUAAGUUCCAUGAGAGCAGUUUCGACACUUGAUCUUUCUCAUAAUAAAUUAUCGGGCCAAUUUCCUCGAUUCUUGCAACGGUUGACCUUAUUAGAAUAUGCAAACCUGUCCUUUAAUGACUUCCAGGGCAAUGUACCAGUGAUCGGAGUAUUUGCAAAUGCAAGUGCAUUCUCUGUUUUGGGUAAUAAUAGGCUUUGUGGUGGCUUGGCUGAAAUUAGGUUGCCCAAAUGUAAUACAAAGAAGCAUAACAAAAAGUUACCUUUGUUCAUCAUACUCAUUCUGUUCGCAUCCACACUUUUCACCAUAUUAUCUUUUGCAAAUUUUUUAUGUAAGAAGAAGAAGAGUCAACCGUCUCAAUCAUCGAGAGGCGAACGGUUCAUGAAAGUAUCAUACAGUCAACUUCUCAAGGCUACCAACGGCUUCUCCCAAGCCAAUUUGAUUGGUGAGGGUGGGUUCAGCUCUGUUUACAAAGGAGUCCUUGAUGAUACAAUUGUUGCAGUCAAAGUUGUACAUCUUCAAAACCGAGGUGCUCACAGAAGCUUUACAGCAGAGUGUGAAGUGUGGCGGGGUAUUCGACACCGGAAUCUGGUUAAGAUAAUAACUUCAUGUUCAAGUGUUGACUACCAUGGCAAUGACUUCAAAGCUUUGGUAUAUGAGUUCAUGCCCAACGGGAGUUUACAUGAUUGGUUGCAUUCAAGUCCAAGUACAUCCAGAUUGAAUCUUUUCCAGAGAAUAAAUAUUCUCAUGGAUAUCGCAUCUACAAUUGAUUAUCUUCACAAUCACUGCCCAUCACCCAUCAUUCACUGUGACCUGAAGCCUAGCAACAUUCUACUUGAUGAUGAUAUGGUGGCCCAUGUUGGAGACUUUGGUUUAGCUCGAUUUCUUGGAACAAAUCCAAACAAAAAAAGUACAAGUGGCAUUAGAGGAACAAUUGGGUAUGCACCUCCAGGUAAAGUUCAUGUAUUCCCAAAUGCUCAUAUUUAUUUUAGUAUUACAUUUUCUGCAAAUAAUAUUUGCUUAAGAGUUGCAGAGUAUGGUGUUGGGAGUGAGAUGACAAGUAGUGGGGAUGUCUACAGUUUUGGAAUACUAUUAUUGGAGGUGAUGACAGGGAAGAGGCCAACAGACAACAUCUUUAACGAAGGCCUUACCCUUCAUAAAUUUGCAUACAUGGCCUUGCCAGACCAUGUAACUGAUGUUAUUGAUGAUGAUCUUCUGAAUUUUCUUCAAGAGGAUGCUACUGCUACACAAUAUACAUCAGCACAUGCAAAGAAAAUAGAGGAAUGCUUGGCUUCAAUCAUCAAACUAGGAGUAUCAUGCUCAGUGGAUUCCCCACCGCAGCGGAUGAAUAUCAAAAAUGUUGUCCGUGAAUUGCAGAAAAUUCUGGAUACACUGCAAAAUAUCCAUGGCUCCAUGUUCUCUCAUCUUCCUAAAUGAAAACAUAUAUAAUUAAAGAAGCCUCUGCCUUUCCUGAGAGGCACUUGUCUUUAUUACAAAACAUUAGUAGUAUUUGUCCGUAUUAUGUAUCAUUAGUUAGUUCAUUACACACCUGACUUGGGUGGUUACUGGUUAGGCAAUCACUGCUUCAUAUGGUAUGUGCAUUUCUAAUAUAUCUUCUACUUCACAUUUGACAUUUUAAUUCAACUCGAUGUAUGAGUUAGAAGCCAUUCAAGUAUCGCAUUUACAUUACUUAAAUGAUUUGACUUGUACCCAAUUUUCAUGAAUAAUCUUGAAACUCACCUCUCUGAACUAACAAGUAACAACAUUCCGACCUUAAUUGUUUACCUUUUCCCUCUACAACUUAUCAAUCGAAUUCCUCAUCCUUUACUAAAAUACAUAGUUAUUUAUCAACAUCAUUGAUGAUAUCAUUCUAGACACAAAACGCUAUAAGUGUAGCUAUUUCUAAUUUCUAUGCUUGGUUGUGCUUUAAAUAUUACAAACAGACAUAUAGAGCAAAAUCACCAUUUCUGUUUCAUACUAUUUGCACAAUUUUGUUAAAGUUUUAAACAUAUAAAAUGACACCAUUUCAUCUGAAUAACAGUAAUUUCUAGCCACCUUAGCCACAACCACAUAUUACAAAGAAGGAUUUCCAAGUAUUAAAGCAUCUUUUAGGUCAAAAUCCGACUAAAUACCCAAAAUCCCAAAUUUAUCAUUUUUAACAUAAGUAGGGUUCUCAUGCUCAUAAUAUGUGUACUCCAACCAAAUUACAUCAUCUUUCAGUAAACAGCAAGAAUUACAUUAAGAUUGGUAGAAUCAUCCAUAGAACAUUAGGGUUUACAUACCUCAGUUUCAUUCGUAUAAACAUCAAACCCACUGAUUCCCUUACGAAAAUGAUUCCCCAUCUUGCUGUCGAUCAAACUCUAACUACCAUCGCUUAAACCUUCUCUUUGCGGUGUUUGAGAUAUAUUUUUACGUUCAAGGACUUUUUUGUAA